rnacentral:rRNA from 1 species
UACGAAGGGGGCUAGCGUUGCUCGGAAUCACUGGGCGUAAAGCGCACGUAGGCGGCUUUCUAAGUCAGGGGUGAAAUCCUGGAGCUCAACUCCAGAACUGCCUUUGAUACUGAAGAUCUUGAGUUCGGGAGAGGUGAGUGGAACUGCGAGUGUAGAGGUGAAAUUCGUAGAUAUUCGCAAGAACACCAGUGGCGAAGGCGGCUCACUGGCCCGAUACUGACGCUGAGACGCGAAAGCGUGGGGAGCGAACAGG